GUACGUAGGGGCUAGCGUUGUCCGGAAUCAUUGGGCGUAAAGCGCGUGUAGGCGGUUCGGUAAGUCCGCUGUGAAAGUCGGGGGCUCAACCCUCGAAUGCCGGUGGAUACUGUCGGGCUAGAGUGCGGAAGAGGCGAGUGGAAUCCUGGUGUAGCGGUGAAAUGACGCAGAUAUCAGGAGGAACACCAAUUGCGAAGGCAGCUCGCUGGGACGCUACUGACGCUGGAGACGCGAAAGCGUGGGGAGCAAACAGG
rnacentral:rRNA from 1 species